AGUGAACUGGCAGUGAAGGAUUUACACUCAGGUCUCUUGGGCCCCAAAAUCUAAGUACUGCACACGACUCUGCAGACCUCCAUGGAGUGACUCUUUCUAAAAAGCUUUAUGCCAACAGACACCAGAGGAGGAAGGUGGUCACCAGGCAUCACUGUCCACCUUACAUAGAGUCUCGCUCUGUUGCCCAGGCUAAAGUGCAGUGAUGCAAUCUUGGCUCAUGGCACCUCUGCCUCCCAAGUUCAAGCAAUUCUCCUGCCUUAGCCUCCUGAGUAGCUGGGAUUACAAGCACACCCACCGCGUCCAGCUAGUUUUUUUGUAUUUUUAGCAGAGACAGGGUUUCACCAUGUUGGUCAGAGUAGUCUCAAACUCCUGACCUCAGGUGAUCUGCACUGCCUCAGCCUCCCAAUGUGCUGGGAUUACAGGCAUGAGCCACUGCGCCCGGCCUAGGCCCUCUCUUUUGAUGAUCUCAACAAUCCUUGCCAGAUGGUGUUCGUAUCCCCAUUUUAAAGAAGAGAAAAAAAGAGACAUGGACAGAUUAACUGAUUCAUCAAGGGUCAAGCCAAGCUCAUCAGUGGCCAAGCAGGCAUGGGAAGCCAA
rnacentral:lncRNA from 10 species